rnacentral:misc_RNA from 1 species
AUCUCUCAACACAAGAGACUUUGUUUUUUUGUGCUUGGAUAUUGAAGGCUUGCUGGCACAACAACUGUCAGCUCCUUUUAAAUGCAUUAGCCAAGCAAUGUUAGGACUGGCCUCAGUUUGAUAAGAAGUUUUUAUCUGUGCUGUCGCUGGAUUUCCUCUUGUGCUUAGCUUCAAAUUGUCUUUGGACUGCCUCUUGAGGCAACAUAUUCUUAUU